UGUUGAUGACGGGUUUGCUACCGUGGGGCUGGGUGGUCCGGAUGCUGCUAUUGAUGUGUUAUCCCUAGCAUCAAGAGAUGGUUCUUCUAGAACAUCAGCCGGCGGUAGGUCUCAAUCUCCAUCUCCAGGCGAGCCUUGACGCCCAGCAGCCGCUGGUGGUCCGCAUUCUGGCGCUCCGCGUCAGCCCGCACCUGUUGGAGUUGCUCCUCCAGGCUGCCGAUCAGCUGCUGCACCUGAGACAGUUGGCAGCAGUACCCACCCUCGGUUUCAGCCAGCGAGCCUUCCAGGGACGACUUCUGCAAAUGGGAGAUAGACAGAAUUGUCUGGGGAUCAGAGAACAAGAUGGGCAGCCCAUGGUCCAGCAUACGGUGGGUGCAACAUCUUUUUUUUUGGAAGUUAAAGGAUGCAUCAUCUCUCUCUGCAUGUCACGCUACCAUGGCGAGCUGGGACUGGAGU
ensembl:antisense A830036E02Rik RIKEN cDNA A830036E02 gene